UGUUUGCUGUGAUGAAUCGCAAGGACGGUAUCUGACAAAGGUUGCUCUUCGAAAAGGCUCCCUUUAUUGAUUACACACACAUCCUUAACUGAUCAUAUGUUCUGAGCAAACG